AUCAGCCCGCUCCCGGUAAAACGGGACGGCCCGCCAGAGGACCCCUAAACUCUGUUUCUAUAUGUAACUUCUGAGUAAAACCAUAAAUAAAUCAAAACUUUCAACAACGGAUCUCUUGGUUCUGGCAUCGAUGAAGAACGCAGCAAAAUGCGAUAAGUAAUGUGAAUUGCAGAAUUCAGUGAAUCAUCGAAUCUUUGAACGCACAUUGCGCCCGCCAGUAUUCUGGCGGCAUGCCUGUUCGAGCGUCAUUUCAACCCUCAAGCCCAGCUUGGUGUUGGGACUCGCGAGUCAAAUCGCGUUCCCCAAAUUGAUUGGCGGUCACGUCGAGCUUCCAUAGCGUAGUAGUAAAACCCUCGUUACUGGUAAUCGUCGCGGCCACGCCGUUAAACCCCAACUUCUGAAUGUUGACCUCGGAUCAGGUAGGAAUACCCGCUGAACUUAAGCAUA
rnacentral:rRNA from 1 species